rnacentral:rRNA from 1 species
AAGACAGAGGGUGCAAACGUUGUUCGGAAUUACUGGGCGUAAAGCGAGUGUAGGCGGUUUGGUAAGUCGGAUGUGAAAGCCCCGGGCUCAACCCGGGAAGUGCACUCGAUACUGCCAAGCUAGAGUAUCGGAGAGGUUGGUGGAAUUCUCGGUGUAGAGGUGAGAUUCGUAGAUAUCGAGAGGAACACCGGUGGCGAAGGCGGCCAACUGGACGAAUACUGACGCUGAGACUCGAAAGCGUGGGGAGCAAACAG